UUGGAGGGCAAGUCUGGUGCCAGCAGCCGCGGUAAUUCCAGCUCCAAUAGCGUAUAUUAAAGUUGUUGCAGUUAAAAGCUCGUAGUUGAAUUUCGAGAUCAAAUUGUUGGUCGUGCCUUGGUACGUACUGGCAUUAUUGGUUUCUCCCUUCUGAAGAACCAUGAUGUCAUUAAUUUGGUGUCAUGGGGAAUCAGGACUGUUACUUUGAAAAAUUGAGUGUUUAAAGCAGGCUCGCGCUUGAAUACAUUAGCAUGGAAUAAUGAAAUAGGACGUUUAAUUCUAUUUUGUUGGUUUCUAGGAUUGACGUAAUGAUUAAUAGGGAUAGUUGGGGGCAUUAGUAUUCAAUUGUCAGAGGUGAAAUUCUUGGAUUUAUUGAAGACUAACUACUGCGAAAGCAUUUGCCAAGGAUGUUUUCAUUAAUCAAGAACGAAAGUUAGGGGAUCGAAGACGAUCAGAUACCGUCGUAGUCUUAACCAUAAACUAUGCCGACUAGGGAUCGGAUGAUGUAAUUUUAAUGACUCAUUCGGC
rnacentral:rRNA from 1 species